AGGAUAAACGCUGGCGGCGUGCCUAACACAUGCAAGUCGAACGUCUCUUCUUUCGGGAAGAGGAGUGGCGGACGGGUGAGGAACACGUGGGAACCUGCCCUUCAGUGAGGAAUACCGGCGAGAAAUCGCCGACAAGACCGCAUAGCCCUCUCUGGUGAGAGCCAGAGAAGGAAAGCCUCGCAAGAGGCGCUGGAGGAGGGGCCUGCGUCCGAUUAGCUAGUUGGUGGGGUAAGAGCCUACCAAGGCGUCGAUCGGUAGCUGGUCUGAGAGGACGAUCAGCCACACUGGGAUUGAGAACGGCCCAGACUCCUACGGGGGGCAGCAGUGAGGAAUUUUCGGCAAUGGGGGAAACCCUGACCGAGCAACGCCGCGUGCAGGAAGACGGCCUUCGGGUUGUAAACUGCUUUUCUUGGGACGAGCAAGGACGGUACCAGAGGAAUCACGCCCGGCUCACUACGUGCCAGCAGCCGC
rnacentral:rRNA from 1 species